UAUACGUUGGGAAAUACGUAUGAAAUGGAUGAAGAAAGCUACAACAAAAAAAUGUUGAUUACUAGCAAUUAAUCGUGACACAAUUAUUCCGAAAAUAUCACAGUGUCACGACUCAAUAUUGAACCCCUGACACCAACAUUGCGGUUUAGUGUGCUCCAUAUUGAUACUGAGUAUUGAUAUCUUUAAUAGAUGAUCGCAGGUUCAAGACGUACGAGUGUAAGACCACCAAUUUAAGAUCCAUAUCCUUUUAUAAAAAAUUUGUAAUUUUUACUGAUUUCUUCAUAUUUUACCUUUAGUUUUUCUUCAUAUAAACAGGUAUAUCCUGAUUCAUUAAUCUAUCUCCUUUCUACACAGUAAUUUUGGAAUCAAUGAUUCAAAUGUUUUAUAACAGUCUGUUACAUUAGCGGAGAACUGAUGUGAAUAUUCGAAUGUCAAGUUCAUCUAAAAAUAACUCCUGGUUUUCUGGAAAUCUGAAAUUUCUGGAAAUUUGAAAACAAAAAUAUUAUGAUGCGCAUCAAUCUUUAAUUUUAAACGUAAACUAAUUUACAAGUACAUUUUAGCUUAAAUGAUCUAAAUGUUAUUCUCUAUCACCAAAAGAUCCGUAUUUACAAACUUGUUGUUUGUAUCAGUUGAAAUUAAAAAUAUGACCAAAUAAAAAUGUUUGUCAGAUUUAUAAGGGCUAUAUCGGAGGCUAUAUAUGGGCGUUUUUCAAUAAAAACGUAUUUUCUUGUCCCAGCCACUUAAAAAA
rnacentral:lncRNA from 1 species